rnacentral:rRNA from 1 species
GACGAACGCUGGCGGCGUGGAUUAGGCAUGCAAGUCGAACGGUAUCAUCCUUUCGGGGGUGAGAGAGUGGCGAACUGGUGAGUAACACGUAGGUUAUCUACCCUCAAGACGGGGACAACCCAGGGAAACUUGGGCUAAUACCGGAUGUGAGCAACUUUUAGUUGUUUGAAAGGUGGCGUAAGCUGUCGCUUGGGGAUGAGCCUGCGUCCUAUUAGUUAGUUGGUGAGGUAACGGCUCACCUAGGCAAUGAUAGGUAGGCGGCCUUAACGGGUGGUCGCCCACACUGGGAUUGAGAUACGGCCCAGACUCCUACGGGAGGCAGCAGUCGAGAAUAGUCUACAAUGGUCGGAAGACUGAUAGUGCGACGCCGCGUGAACGAUGAAUCCCUUCGGGGUGUAAAGUUCUUUUAUAUGUGAGCAGUGCUUCUUAUAUUAACAGUAUGGGGAAGAGAUAUUAGCAUAUGAAUAAGCAACGGCUAACUCCGUGCCAGCAGCCGCGGUAAGCU